rnacentral:rRNA from 1 species
AUUGAACGCUGGCGGCAUGCCUUACACAUGCAAGUCGAACGGCAGCGGGGGAGAAGCUUGCUUUUCCUGCCGGCGAGUGGCGAACGGGUGAGUAAUACAUCGGAACGUGCCCUGUAGUGGGGGAUAACUAGUCGAAAGAUUAGCUAAUACCGCAUCCGACCUGAGGGUGAAAGUGGGGGACCGCAAUGCCUCAUGCUAUAGGAUCGGCCGAUGUCUGAUUAGCUAGUUGGUGGGGUAAAGGCCUACCAAGGCGACGAUCAGUAGCUGGUCUGAGAGGACGAUCAGCCACACUGGGACUGAGACACGGCCCAGACUCCUACGGGAGGCAGCAGUGGGGAAUUUUGGACAAUGGGCGAAAGCCUGAUCCAGCAAUGCCGCGUGUGUGAAGAAGGCCUUCGGGUUGUAAAGCACUUUUGUCCAGAAAGAAAUGGCCCUGGUUAAUACCUGGGGUCGAUGACGGUACCGGAAGAAUAAGGACCGGCUAACUACGUGCCAGCCGCCGCAGUAA